UAUUAUAUUAAAUAAAAAAUUUCGAAUUGAACCAAUUUGGACUCCCACUUGUGUUUCAAAAACUCCAUUUCAUCUACUUUAACCCAAAAUUCAGCGUCAUAUUCACUACAGGAAAGGAGUUUUAUUCAUUAUCUGUUAGUAGAAACAAUUUGGUUUCAAUUUUUUAUGACGAAAAUGCUUCGAGUUAAUUUAAGGCUUUGUUUGAAAUAUAAUUCGUUUAGUGAUUAUUCGCUUAGUGAUUAUAGAUAUCGUUCUAAUUUUCAAAUUACAAAAUACUAAACAGCUUUAUUUGAAUAAACAGUAAAAGAUUCUAAAUCUUUGGACUACUUUUAAAUGGUUGACAGACCAGAAAAAUUUGAGAAAGAAAGUUUUAUAACAAAUCGUCUUAUUAUCUAUCUUGCCUAAAAGGAGUGAUCAACCUUGAAUGACAGAAUUUAUUUUAGGUCGAUAAUGGUUGGACGGUGGUGUGGUGUAUGCUUGCUAAGCGAAAAUAUUGCAGGACAUAAGUUAGACGAAUUGAAUUUUCUACGUUAUAAUCUGUUCUGGCGCUUGCUCGCAAUCGUAAAAACAAACUAUUGAAAUUAAAAAAAAAAAAAAAAGAUUGGUAGUGUACAUGCUGAAUUUCAAUCUAUGCUUUAAAUUAAUAAUUGCUAAAUUCAAAAAAAAACGAAUGCUAUCUCUUUAUCCACUGGUCAUUACCAGUUUUUUUUUUUUUUGCUAUAUUUUUCUUUUAAAAAGCUUCUGUAUUCUCGGGAUAUUACCAACGGCGUUAUUAACUCAAUCAUCGAAUGAAGUACGAGUACUAACGGAAUAGAACUAGUCAACGGUGAAUGACUUUAUC
rnacentral:lncRNA from 1 species